CAUAUCACUUAUCUGAGAGUCUUCAAAUUGAAGGACUCAUCAAGGUGUGAUACGUCGAUUACUUCCCUCUCACACGCACGUGCCCAAAAAGAGAUGCAAUUGGCAUCACUUCUACUUUCAGAUUUGUGUGAAACUUUGCCUUAUAUUCUCUAAUUCAAAUGGAAAGGUAAUCAGCAAGGGAUGCCCCAUUUGGAUAGGAAUUUAAAUAACAAAAGGACUCUCAACGUGGAGAGAUGCGUGAGUCCUUCCUCUAUCGCAUGCGUGCUCGCCCAGUAAAAGGGCAUCAAAAGCAAUGAUCCAUUACCUAAUAAAUUUUCAUACUUAUCAUACGGAAUCAACAUUUAAAUCUAAUCCUUAUCAAGAAAAAUAUCAGAUAAUAGAGUCACCUAAGACUCCUUACAAUAGAAGGAGACUUUGCAUCUCUUCGCACGUCCAAAAACUUUCGUGCACAGGCAUGAUUCCAAGAGAAUUUUCACACCCAAUCCAAAAGAUUUUUCAUACUAUAAAAAGUGUGCAAGCUGGUUAAGGUUCUGAUCUAUUUCCAUAUGAGUCAGAGACCCAAAGCAGAAGGACUGUUGGUCCUUCUGCAUGCCAAAACCAAAGAGUGCGUGUGCUCUUCUUAAAUUUGCACCAAGAGUCCUUAACAAAAAGGACUCUUGGUUUUUGGUGUUAAGAUGAGUUGAGGCACCCCUCUUUGGGUUACCUCUAGGUGGCAUGACCUAACCUAAAGAUACUCCAAAUUGGGUUAGCAAAUUAGCAAGGAUUGAGACCAAAUUGAUCUCCCAAGGGGCUAGGGUUUCCACACGUGCUAGCAUGCUUAUCGGGAACCUUGAUUGGAUCCAAAAUUUUAAUCAACCUUAUCAAAAGGAUUUUUGGCUUAUUUUAUUAUGUGUGUGACCCA
rnacentral:lncRNA from 1 species